GUCAACGGCCAUACCACCCUGAAUGUACCCAAUCUCAUCUGAUCUCGGAAGCUGAGCAGGAUCGGGCCUGGUUAGUACUUGGAUGGGAAAAGAUACAUCAGUACUUUCAGUGUGUGGAAGUAUAAUGUUGACC
rnacentral:rRNA from 1 species